CCACUUCAGGCAGCUCACAAUUAACUGCCUGUCACUCCAGCUCCAGAGGAGCUGACACCUCUGGCCAACACAGGCACCUGCCCUCCCAGGAACACACCCACAUGUGGACAGGUACACCUGCACACAGGUUCUGCUGUGAGGUUCCUGGACUCUGUGAGUGAGCAGAACUUCUAGAGUACAGAGUUAUCCACUGCAGCCCUGAGAUGGCCCUGAUUUUGCACUGGAACCCAUUCUUCACUUGUGCCAUCCUUGAGCUCAGCAUCACAGUCUGUCAUCAUGUGCCUGCUACAUCCUUUCCCUGUAGCCUGACCAUUGGAAUUGGAGAAGUCAGGUGCUAUACCAU